rnacentral:lncRNA from 1 species
CCUGACACUGUUGCCUUCUCAAAGGACCCAAGUUCUUCACCGUAAAAUUCUUCUGUUCCUUAGGUGGUCCAUGGAGCUCUGUUAGGGAAGAGUGCCUCCCCUGGUCUUCAUCAACUUUCUUAUCUCUGUAUUAAAUAUAACCAAGUUAUUUUCCAAAAGCCUUGUGGGGAGGGAAGUUUGCAGCUUGACUGAAGCUGAAAGUUGCUUACCUGUGUUUAGAUUGAUCAUAGACUUUCUCCCAAUUUAGGCAGUGAAAGGACCCCAAAUGGACCUUUUCAGUUAGACGCUAUCAUAUUGAACAUUGAUAAAUCUAGAUUCCAUUCUGUUAAUUGAGUUUUAAAAUUUAAUGCCCUUUAAAAAAUAUAGUCAUAUAUCCAAAAGUAUAUUAUUCCUGGAAACUAAGUUAUCCUAGCCAUUCUAAUUCACUGAUAAUUUCUUAUUAAAAUCUUAAUAACAUUUGUUUUGAUAUGAAAAAAUUUCUUCAGUAGCACUGCUUCAUCCUUAAUUGAAUUUCUGCAAAAAUGGUUAUAUUUAAUCUCAAAUAUCUAAUCAGAUCUAUGUCUGCUUUAUGUUCAUUUCAUAGGCAGUUAUUUCAGGUAUCCAUUCCUUUGAGAGCAUGACUUUGAGUUUUGGCCUUUAUUUUUAGAUAUUCUAAGACCUUACAGAUGUUCCUCUCUUAAUGGGUUCAUUUGGCUACGAGAAAGCUGAGAUUCUCUGGGGAGAUGUUUGAGAUCCUCU